rnacentral:lncRNA from 1 species
GAUUUGUUUAAGAUUUGAUUUAAGAUUCAAGAUUUAUUUAAGAUUUGAUUUAGAGUUUAAGAUUUUUUUAAAGCUUCUAAGAUUUGGUUUAGGAUUUAGAAUUUAGUUAAAAUUUGACCUAGGAUUUAGUUAAGGUCCAUUAAAGUUUCAAUUGAAAUUAAAGUAGAAUUAUUUUAGGAUUCAUUUAAGAUUUAUUUAAGAUUUCUCUAAUAUUUCUUUAAGAUUUAUUUAAGAU